AGUGAACGCUGGCGGUAGGCCUAACACAUGCAAGUCGAACGGCAGCACAGUAAGAGCUUGCUCUUACGGGUAGCGAGUGGCGGACGGGUGAGGAAUACAUCGGAAUCUACUUUUUCGUGGGGGAUAACGUAGGGAAACUUACGCUAAUACCGCAUACGACCUACGGGUGAAAGCAGGGGAUCUUCGGACCUUGCGCGAUUGAAUGAGCCGAUGUCGGAUUAGCUAGUUGGCGGGGUAAAGGCCCACCAAGGCGACGAUCCGUAGCUGGUCUGAGAGGAUGAUCAGCCACACUGGAACUGAGACACGGUCCAGACUCCUACGGGAGGCAGCAGUGGGGAAUAUUGGACAAUGGGCGCAAGCCUGAUCCAGCCAUACCGCGUGGGUGAAGAAGGCCUUCGGAUUGUAAAGCCCUUUUGUUGGGAAAGAAAAGCAGCAGGUUAAUACCCCGCUGUUCUGACGGUACCCAAAGAAUAAGCACCGGCUAACUUCGUG
rnacentral:rRNA from 1 species